rnacentral:rRNA from 1 species
AGAGUUUGAUCCUGGCUCAGGACGAACGCUGGCGGCGUGCCUAACACAUGCAAGUCGAACGGGGAUAUUGAUUUCGGUUGAUAUCCCAGUGGCGAACGGGUGAGUAACGCGUGAGCAACCUGACCUUUUGAGGGGGAUAACACCUGGAAACAAGUGCUAAUACCGCAUAAGACCACGGAGCGGCAUCGUUCAGGGGUCAAAGGAGGAAUCCGCAGAAGGAGGGGCUCGCGUCCCAUUAGAUAGUAGGCGGGGUAACGGCCCACCUAGUCGACGAUGGGUAGCCGAGCUGAGAGGCUGAUCGGCCACACUGGAACUGAGACACGGUCCAGACUCCUACGGGAGGCAGCAGUGGGGAAUAUUGGGCAAUGGGCGCAAGCCUGACCCAGCAACGCCGCGUGAGGGAAGAAGGCUUUCGGGUUGUAAACCUCUGUCCUUGGUGACGAAGGAAGUGACGGUAGCCAAGGAGGAAGCCCCGGCUAACUACGUGCCAGCAGCCGCGGUAAUACGUAGGGGGCGAGCGUUGUCCGGAAUUACUGGGCGUAAAGGGUGCGUAGGCGGUCUGUUAAGUUGGAUGUGAAAUCCCCGGGCUUAACUUGGGGUCUGCAUCCAAUACUGGGAGACUAGAGUGCAGGAGAGGGAAGCGGAAUUCCUAGUGUAGCGGUGAAAUGCGUAGAUAUUAGGAGGAACACCAGUGGCGAAGGCGGCUUGCUGGACGACAACUGACGCUGAGGCGCGAAAGCGUGGGGAGCAAACAGGAUUAGAUACCCUGGUAGUCCACGCUGUAAACGAUGAAUACUAGGUGUAGGGGGUAUCAACUCCCCCUGUGCCGGAGCAAACGCAAUAAGUAUUCCGCCUGGGGAGUACGGCCGCAAGGUUGAAACUCAAAGGAAUUGACGGGGGCCCGCACAAGCAGUGGAGUAUGUGGUUUAAUUCGA